rnacentral:rRNA from 1 species
UACGUAGGGCGCGAGCGUUGUCCGGAAUUAUUGGGCGUAAAGAGCUCGUAGGCGGCUUGUCACGUCGGGUGUGAAAGACCGGGGCUUAACUCCGGUUCUGCAUUCGAUACGGGCUAGCUAGAGUGUGGUAGGGGAGAUCGGAAUUCCUGGUGAGCGGUGAAAUGCGCAGAUAUCAGGAGGAACACCGGUGGUGAAGGCGGAUCUCUGGGCCAUUACUGACGCUGGAGGAGCGAAAGCGUGGGGAGCGAACAGG